UAGUGGUGAACGAUAACUAUGAGAGCGCAGCAGAUAAGCGGCUAAAUAUAGACGUGUUUGUACAGUAAAGUACUGACAGUGGAACACGUGCGUGGUCUGAACCUUUAAAAUCACAGUGUUGGCACAGGUUCAAAUUCAUCUGUGCAGUGUAAUUCAAUAUAUUUCGACACAAACGCCGUCUACCUCGUGGAAUGUUUGCCUAUGAUAAGAGAUACUGUCUCUAUACCUUUAUAACUUGAGAACGGACUAUAAUCUGUACAAAGAUGUGAGAAAGCGAAGACGAUGUGUCGAGGACUUUACAGAAAUACGCCACACAGGUAAGUCCGAUCUGUUCACAACACAAUCAUUUUCUUCUCUCAAUCUGAUUAUGUAAUAAAUAUUCAUUUAUAUGCGAUUGCUCGAUCAAUGUAUGUAUUUCAACUUUCACUACUUAUACAAGAUAGAAGUCAUUUGUAAACAGAAAGUAGUAUCAGACACAGACAAAAAUACAGGAUCGUACAAAAGAAAUGUGAAACACCGUGUGUUAUUUUGAUUUUCUUUCCAUCACGAUAUGCUACCUCUAUAUAUCAAAUUAAAAAUCAUAUCUCGCAGUUACAUGUAUUUAAAUCAAAUUAAUGCUGUAAUAUCCAGAUGCCAAAACUAAACAUAGAAGCAUCAACCGGCAUAUAUUGAUUUCUGAAUUUCGGACCUUAGUUCUGAUAUUUAAUUAAUGAACCCGUGGUCUAAUUCCGUGCUCUAAUUCUGAACAUUAAUCGUCUUACCUCUAAUCGAAUUUCAAAAUGGCGACGACCCUCCGCUUCCUCACUGAGCCAUCACAUUACUGUAUACAACGCAUGACCUGUCUCUAUUUUAUUUCCUCAUAGUCGUGAAAUACUUCCUGUUCGAUGUGAUUUUAGAAAAUAUACAAAAGAAAAUAAUAUAUUACGUAGACAAUGUUGGUAGAUGGGAGCAGCUGUAGCUGUGUGUCUACGAUCGAGAGAAACAGAAUUCAUUUCUGUGACUGGAAUAUCAAUUAGCAUUGUAAACCAUAUUUAAUUAAUCAAUAUCUGUAAUAUGUUUCGGAAUCAAGAACUUGCCGUGCUCAUAAAUGUGGUGAUGCAGUGAGUUUGGUAGUGGAACCGUAAAAUAUCAAAUAGGAAUCUGAUACAUAUAUUUUUCCAUGAAAGACAUCGUUGUUCAUACUAGUUUGAAAAUUCACUUCCGCAGUUACAUGAAUCGUAUUUAUGUUUAUCAACUGAUCACUGUAAUAAUAACAACUGAUCACUGUAAUAAUAACAACUGAUCACUGUAAUAAUAACAACUGAUCACUGUAAUAAUAACAACUUUAUUUACUAUCACUGUAAUAAUAACAACUUUAUUUACUAUCACUGUAAUAAUAACAACUUUAUUUACUGAUUAUUGCAAAAUUUCCAGUAAUUUUAUUAACUGAUCACCAAAAUAUCCAAGUAACUUUAAUAUCUGAUCAUUGCAUUAUCCAAGUAACUUUAUUAUCUGAUCAUUGCAUUAUCCAAGUAACUUUAUUAUCUGAUCAUUGCAUUAUCCAAGUAACUUUAUUAUCUGAUCAAUGCAUUAUCCAAGUAACCUUCUUCACUGAUCAAUGCAUUAUUCAAGUAACUUUAUUCACUAAUCACAGAAUUAUAGAUGUACAAAGAACUUUAUCAACUGACCAAUGCAUCAUCUUAGUAACACUAUCCCAGCAACUUUAAUUACUAAUUAAAUUAUCCAAGUAAUUUUAUUUACUAAUCACAGAAUUAUCCCAAUAAUUUUAUUAACUGAUCACAAAAUUAUCCAAGUAGCUAAAUUAACUGAUCUAAGUAACUUUAUUUACUAAUUACAAAAUUAUCCAUGUAACUUUAUUCUCUAAUCACAUAAUUAUCAAAGUAAUUUUAUCCACUGUAACUAAGUUAUCCAAGGGACUUUAUUAACUUGUCACUGCAUUUUCUCAAUAAUUUUUUAACCGAUCACUAUUCCCGUGGGGAUCCGGGUUAGAAUAGGUCCUCAGUACCCCUUGCUUGUCGUAAAAGGCGACUUCGGAUGAGACCACAAAAACCGAGGUCCCAUGUCACAGCAGGUGUGGCACGAUAAAGAUCCCUCCCUGCUCAAAAGCCCUAAGCGCCGAGCAUAGGCCUAAAUUUUGCAGCCCUCCACCGGCAAUGAUGACGUCUCCAUAUGAAUGAAAAAUUCUCGAGAGGGACGUUAAACAAUAUUCAAUCAAUCAAUUAACCGAUCACUACUGUAUUAUCCAAGUAAUUUUAACCGGUCGCAGUAGCUCAGUGGUAGAGCGUUUGCCUCGUAAACGGAGGGUCGAGAGUUCGAGUCCUGCUUGAGCCAUGGCUGUGUCAAACUUAUUAUUCCUUCGCCACACGCUCAGUAUUACACAACAACCGCGGUGGUCUAGAGGUUGAACGUUCGCCCCGCAAGCGGAAAGUUGGGGUUUGAAUCCUGGCUGCGACAGACCUAAAUCGUUAAAACAGAUAGUGAUAGUUCCAUCGCCAAACGUGCGGCAUCAGGUGUGAAUAUCACGGGUCCUCGGAGAUGACUUUAAAAACGGAAGUCCCGUGUCACAGUAGGUGUGGCAUGCUAAAGAACCUUCACUGCUCAAUGGCCGUAAGCGCCGAGCAUAGGAUUAAAUUUGAAGCCCUUCACCGGUAUUGGUGACAUCUUAUAUUGGGUGAAAAAUUCUUGAGAGGGAUGUUAAACAAGAUACAAUCAAUCAAUGAAUCGGAAUUAAGAAGUGACAAUCGCGGGUCUUUCGGAUCGGAGACGUUGGCACUUUAAAGAAUCCUCAGUGCAACGACCAUAAACGCGGAGCCAAAUUUGUGGUACCUUCAAAACGAGUGAAUAAUAACAGGACGUAAAACAUCCAACCAAACCCAAGUAACAACUUAUCCUAGUCAAUUUAUUAACUUUAUCAACUUCUCACUGCAUUAUCCUAGUCAAUUUAUUAACUUAUAUCAACUUCUCACUGUAUUAUCCUAGUCAAUUUAUUAACUUAUAUCCCGGUAACUUUAUCUCACUGCAUUAUCCUAGUCAAUUUAUUAACUUAUAUCCCGGUAACUUUAUCAACUUCUCACUGCAUUAUCCUAGUCAAUUUAUUAACUUAUAUCCCGGUAACUUUAUCUCACUGCAUUAUCCUAGUCAAUUUAUUAACUUAUAUCCCGGUAACUUUAUCUCACUGCAUUAUCCUAGUCAAUUUAUUAACUUAUAUCCCGGUAACUUUAUCAACUUCUCACUGCAUUAUCCUAGUCAAUUUAUUAACUUAUAUCCCGGUAACUUUAUCAACUUCUCACUGCAUUAUCCUAGUAUUUACUCACCUCAGUAGUGGAAAGUUCGACUCGUAACCGGAAGUCGAGGGUUUGAGUCCCGCCCGUGCCAUGGCCACGUGAAACUGAAGAUGUAAACAUGAAAUGAUUGCUCCUUCUAAACUGUUCGUUAUCUUCACUUUUUCCAUCGCCAAACGUUCAUCAUUAAGAAGUGACAAUCACAUGUAUUUUGGAUGUGACCUUAAAAACGGAGUUCCGGUUUUGCGGCAGAUCUAGACAUUUGCACGUUUAAGAUUCCUAACUGCAACGACCAAAAGCGCUAUAAGCAUGGGUCUAAAUUUGUGGUACUUCACCUACAACUAAUGUCGUCUCACAAUAAGUGAAUAAUUUUCGACGGAACAUAAAAUAACCAUCCAAAUCCCAGUAACCUUAUAAACCGAUCACUGCAUUAUCCCACUAACUAUAUUAACUGAUCACUAAAUUAUCCCAGUAACUAUAUUAACUGAUCACUAAAUUAUCCCAGUAACUAUAUUAACUGAUCACUGCAUUAUCCCAGUAACUAUAUUAAUUGAUCACUAAAUUAUCCCAGUAACUUUAUAAACCGACCAUUGCAUUAUCCCAGUAACAUAUUAACUGAUCACUAAAUUAUCCCAGUAAUUUUAUAAACCGAUCACUGCAUUAUCCCAGUAACUAUAUUAACUGAUCACUGCAUUAUCCCAGUAGCAUAUUAACUGAUCACUAAAUUAUUCCAGAAACUAUAUUAAUUGAUCGCUGCAUUAUCCCAAUAACUAUAUUAACUGAUCACUAAAUUAUCCCAUUAACCUUAUAAACCGAUCACUGCAUUAUCCCAGUAACUUUAUAAACCGAUCACUGAAUUAUCCCAGUAACUAUAUUAAUUGAUCACUGCAUUAUCCCAGUAACUAUAUUAACUUAUCACUAAAUUAUCCCAGUAACCUUAUAAACCGAUCACUGCAUUAUCCCAGUAACUUUAUAAACCGAUCAUUGCAUUAUCCCAGUAACUUUAUAAACCGAUCACUGCAUUAUCCCAGUAACUAUAUUAACUGAUCACUAAAUUAUCCCAGUAAAUAUAUUAACUUAUCACUAAAUUAUCCCAGUAACCUUACAAACCGAUCACUCCAUUAUCCCAGUAACUUGUUAACUGAUCACUAAAUUAUCCCAGUAAUUUUAUAAACCGAUCACUGCAUUAUCCCAGUAAUAUAUUAACUGAUCACUAAAUUAUCCCAGUAACUAUAUUAACUGAUCACUAAAUUAUCCCAGUAACCUUACAAACCGAUCACUGCAUUAUCCCAGUAAUUUUAUAAACCGAUCACUGCAUUAUCCCAGUAACAUAUUAACUGAUCACUAAAUUAUCCCAGUAACUAUAUUAACUGAUCACUGCAUUAACCCAGUAACUAUAUUAACUGAUCACUAAAUUAUCCCAGUAACUAUAUUAACUGAUCACUAAAUUAUCCCAGUAACUAUAUUAACUGAUCACUGCAUUAUCCCAGUAACUUUAUAAACCGAUCACUGCAUUAUCCCAGUAACUAUAUUAAUUGAUCACUAAAUUAUCCCAGUAACUAUAUUAACUGAUCACUAAAUUAUCCCAGUAACUAUAUUAACUGAUCACUGCAUUAUCCCAGUAACUUUAUAAACCGAUCAUUGCAUUAUCCCAGUAACUAUAUUAACUGAUCACUAAAUUAUCCCAGUAAUUUUAUAAACCGAUCACUGCAUUAUCCCAGUAACUAUAUUAACUGAUCACUGCAUUAUCCCAGUAACAUAUUAACUGAUCACUAAAUUAUUCCAGUAACUAUAUUAAUUGAUCACUGCAUUAUCCCAGUAACUAUAUUAACUGAUCACUAAAUUAUCCCAUUAACCUUAUAAACCGAUCACUGCAUUCUCCCAGUAACUUUAUAAACCGAUCACUGAAUUUUCCCAGUAACUAUAUUAAUUGAUCACUGCAUUAUCCCAGUAACUAUAUUAACUAAUCACUAAAUUAUCCCAGUAACCUUAUAAACCGAUCACUGCAUUAUCCCAGUAACUUUAUAAACCGAUCAUUGCAUUAUCCCAGUAACUUUACAAACCGAUCACUGCAUUAUCCCAGUAACUAUAUUAACUGAUCACUAAAUUAUCCCAGUAACUAUAUUAACUGAUCACUGCAUUAUCCCAGUAACCUUAUAAACCGAUCACUGCAUUAUCCCAGUAACUUAUUAACUGAUCACUAAAUUAUCCCAGUAAUUUUAUAAACCGAUCACUGCAUUAUCCCAGUAACUUUAUAAACCGAUCACUGAAUUUUCCCAGUAACUAUAUUAAUUGAUCACUGCAUUAUCCCAGUAACUAUAUUAACUAAUCACUAAAUUAUCCCAGUAACCUUAUAAACCGAUCACUGCAUUAUCCCAGUAACUUUAUAAACCGAUCAUUGCAUUAUCCCAGUAACUUUACAAACCGAUCACUGCAUUAUCCCAGUAACUAUAUUAACUGAUCACUAAAUUAUCCCAGUAACUAUAUUAACUGAUCACUGCAUUAUCCCAGUAACCUUAUAAACCGAUCACUGCAUUAUCCCAGUAACAUAUUAACUGAUCACUAAAUUAUCCCAGUAAUUUUAUAAACCGAUCACUGCAUUAUCCCAGCAACCUUACAAACCGAUCACUGCAUUAUCCCAGUAACUAUAUUAACUGAUCACUAAAUUAUCCCAGUAACUAUAUUAACUGAUCACUGCAUUAUCCCAGUAACCUUAUAAACCGAUCACUGCAUUAUCCCAGUAACUUAUUAACUGAUCACUAAAUUAUCCCAGUAAUUUUAUAAACCGAUCACUGCAUUAUCCCAGUAACUAUAUUAACUGAUCACUGCAUUAUCCUAGUAAUUAUAUUAACUGAUCACAGCAUUAUCCCAGCAACCUUACAAACCGAUCACUGCAUUAUUCCAGUAAUUUUAUAAACCGAUCAUUGCAUUAUCCCAGUAACAUAUUAACUGAUCACUAAAUUAUCCCAGUAACUAUAUUAAUUGAUUACUGCAUUAUCCCAGUAACUAUAUUAACUGAUCACUAAAUUAUCCCAGUAACUUUAUAAACCGAUCACUGCAUUAUCCCAGUAACUAUAUUAAUUGAUCACUGCAUUAUCCCAGUAACUAUAUUAACUGAUCACUAAAUUAUCCCAGUAAAUAUAUUAACUGAUCACUAAAUUAUCCCAGUAACUUUAUAAACCGAUCACUGCAUUAUCCCAGUAACAUAUUAACUGAUCACUAAAUUAUCCCAGUAACUAUAUUAAUUGAUCACUGCAUUAUCCCAGUAACUAUAUUAACUGAUCACUAAAUUAUCCCAGUAACUAUAUUAAUUGAUCACUGCAUUAUCCCAGUAACCAUAUUAACUGAUCACUAAAUUAUCCCAGUAACUAUAUUAAUUGAUCACUAAAUUAUCCCAGUAACUUUAUAAACCGAUCACUGCAUUAUCCCAGUAACAUAUUAACUGAUCACUAAAUUAUCCCAGUAACUAUAUUAAUUGAUCACUGCAUUAUCCCAGUAACUAUAUUAUCUGAUCACUAAAUUAUCCCAGUAACUUUAUAAACCGAUCACUGCAUUAUCCCAGUAACUAUAUUAUCUGAUCACUAAAUUAUCCCAGUAACUAUAUUAACCGAUCACUGCAGUCUUGUUUUGUUAGUUCAUUCUAGAAUUUUUCACUCUUAAAGGGAUCGCGGUAGCUCUGUCAUGACUAGUAGAUGACCUAUAUUAAUGUGCAGGUACAAAAGCCAGAGGACACGGGUUUUCUAGCAUGUAUGUUAUGUAGCAGUUGUCUAGCUGGUAAUUCUAGCAUGUAUGUUAUGUAGCAGUUGUCUAGCUGUAAGUGGUAACUAGAGAGUCCUUUACCCAAUCAUCAUCAAACAUUGUAAUUUAUACAGACUUGUUCUGACUUUUCUAUAACCUUUUAAUAAUUUUGAGGAGGUCAAAACGUCAAAGUUCAUUGAGUGUCUAGCAGGCAUACAAUAUUUACUGUCCAACAAAUAACUAAAGAUCCCUUUAUCUCAUAUUGAUUUUCAGGUUAAAAAUCAAAGGGCUUUCUUGGAUGCAUAAAGUAAUUGUAGUCCGAUCGAUAACUAAAUAUCAGAGUUCAUAGACAAAUUGAUCAUCACUAGUCAACCCCUAUUGGUUUUCAGAUUUAUUAUCCUUGUUCUGCGUAUGAUCAGUUCUCAAAUCGAGACAGACAACUGACAGACAAGUUGAUGAUGCAGGGGUUUCAACAGUCUCGUUUAAAGUCAGCAUUUCGCAAAUUCUAUGGUAGCUAUAACAAUCUAAUUUGCUAAUAUAACCUGUCAUUGGGCCAAAUGCUUGUUUCAAACCGAUUGUUAGGCCGUUCUUGGCACACUGAUUUUUACUACGGACAACUCCGUUUACCUGAUCAAGAUAUAAAUCGCACGGCGGGUGUGACCGGUCGACAGGGGAUGCCUACUUUUCCUAGGCACAUGAUCCCACCUUUGGCAUAUGCAGGGGUCCGUGUUUGCCCAAAUUUGUUUUAUAUUGCUUAUAGGAGUUAUGAGAUUGAUCACUGUUCGUUAUCUUCACCUUUCAGUUUGGGAAAGGGGUAUAUAUUUUACAAAUACGACCAGUUCCAAUUGAAUUUUUAAAUGAAAAUAAACGAUAAAGAAUUAGAACAAGAGAAACACGCAACAUGUUUGUAAUUUUGUGAAUUGUAUUUGUCUGAGUCAUACAAGGAAUAAUUUCAUUUAUAUGUAAAACUUAUACGGUACCAAUUUUGAUGCACCAGAUGCACAUUUCGACAAAUAAUGUCUCCUCAGUGAUGCUCAAGCCGAAAGUUUGGAAAUUCGAAAUAACAAUAAACUUGAAAGAGCUAAAAAGAAAACCAGAGUGCCAAACACUGGAGCCAAAUUCGUCCAAGGAUCAGAGCUAUAUAUGAGGGAAAUUAUCCUUAAUUUUGAAAUGAAUUUCUAAAUUUUAUCCCAGCAAUUGAAUAUACAUCCGUAUUUUCAAGCUAGUAACAUAUAGUGCCAGGAGGAGACAUCCGGUACCUUCACGAUCAUCUCUUGGUUUAAGCGUUUUGGAGAGACAUAAAACAAAGGCCGCUUAAAUCACAGGAAAAGACAAGUACUUAUAAAAGCUAUUAUUAGAAUUGCUUCUAAAUCGUAGAAACGUGGUAUUGUUAGAAAAAGAGAGUCUGGCCGGAAUAGUUUUGUUCACGUUCUAAAAUCUCAUCCAAGACAUAUAGAUAUUAGUUGAAUAUAGGAUGACUAUACGUGAAGUAUGUAUAUAUUUAGGACGAGUUAAACUAACUAUCUCUCCCUUUUCUGAAUUUCAAUUUACUAAAAUCAUUAUCAAUAGGUCUAAUCAAAUUUGGUUGGUUGAUUGAUUGUAAAGAUUAUAUGGUGUGUUUAUUGAAAAUCUUCUCAAUUACACUAACGUAAAACUUAUACGGUGCCAAUUUUAAUGCACCCGGUGCGCAUUUCGACAAAUGUCUCUUCAGUGAUGCUCAAGCCGAAAUACGAACUCUACACAAGAUUCGAUCACCUGUACAACCUAACAAUCCUUAUCGAAGAUUUCAUCUUGAAACCUCUACGUUAAAGACAUCUGUGUCCCCACUGCUCUGGGGUUCUGUUGUCAAAAAUGGUUCCAAGUCCUGCUGAGACACGCAACAUUUAUAUUACCGUGUACAAGGAAGAACCGCCUUUCUGGUAAGUAAGGAGAUCACUUUUGUAUAUGUAGUUUCGUAAUAAGUUUGAUAUGAAUUACAUUACUUGUGAUAUUUGUUCUCUAUUUUUAGCUCACCUGAACCGAAGGUUCAAGUGAGCUAUUCUGAUCACAUUUUGUCCGGCGUCCGUCUGUCUGUCUGUCCGUCUGUCUGUCCGUCUGUCCGUAAACUUUUCACAUUUUCGACUUCUUCUCCAGAACCACUGGGCCAAUUUCAACCUAACUUGGCCAAAAGCAUCCUUGGGUGAAGGGCUUUCAAGUUUGUUCAAAUGAAGGUCCAUGUCCCUUUCAAAGGGGAGAUAAUCACAAAAAUGCAAAAAUAGCGUGGGGUCAUUUAAAAAUCUUCUUCUCAAGAACCACUGGGCCAGAAGAGUUGAAAUUUUCCUGAAAGCUUCCUGACAUAUUGCAGAUUCAAGUUUGGUCAAAUCAUGGCCCCCGGUGGUAGGAUGGGGCCACAAGGGGGAAUCAAAGUUUUACAUACAAAUAUAUAGGGAAAAACUUUAAAAAUCUUCUUCUCAAGAACCACUAAGCCAGAAAAGCUGAGAUUUACAUGAAAGCUUCCUGACAUAAUGCAGAUUCAAGUUUGUUCAAAUCAUGGGCCCCUGGGGUUGGAUGGGGCCACAAUAGGGGAUCAAAGUUUUACAUACAAAUAUAUAGGAAAAAUCUUUAAAAAUCUUCUUCUCAAGAACCACUAAGCCAGAAAAGCUGAUUUUUACAUGAAAACUUUCUGACAUAGUGCAGAUUCAAGUUUGUUCAAAUCAUGGCCCCCGGGGAUAAGAUGGGGCCCCAAGGGGUGGAUCAAAGUUUUACACACAAAUAUAUAAGGAAAAACUUUAAAAAUCUUCUUCUCAAGAACCACUGAGCCAGAAAAGCUGAGAUUUACAUGAAAGCUUACUGACAUAAUGCAGAUUCAAGUUUGUUCAAAUCAUGGGCCCCGGGGGUUGGAUGGGACCACAAUAGGGGAUCAAAGUUUUACAUACAAAUAUAUAGGAAAAAUCUUCUUCUCAAGAACCACUGAGUCAGAAAAGCUGAUUUUUACAUGAAAACUUUCUGACAUAGUGCAGAUUCAAGUUUGUUCAAAUCAUGGGCCCCGGGGGUAGGAUGGGGCCACAAGGGGGGAUCAAAGUUUUACAUACAAAUAUAUAGGAAAAAUCUUUAAAAAUCUUCUUCUCAAGAACCACUGAGCCAGAAAAGCUGAUUUUUACAUGAAAACUUUCUGACAUAGUGCAGAUUCAAGUUUGUUCAAAUCGUGGCCCCCGGGGGUAGGAUGGGGCCCCAAGGGGGGAUCAAAGUUUUACAUACAAAUAUAGGAAAAAGCUUUAAAAAUCUUCUUCUCAAGAACCAUUGGGCCAAAGAAGUUGACAUUUACAUGAAAGCUUUCUGACAUAGUGUAGAUUCAAGUUUGCAAAGGGUAGUUUGGGCCAUAAUAGGGACUAAGGUUUUACAUCCAAAUAUAUAUGGAAAGUCUUCAGAUAUGGGCCAAGGUGACUCGGGUGAGCGAUGUGGCCCAUGGGCCUCUUGUUUUAAUUGUUUUUAUCAUUUUCAACAAAUACAUAUACACCUUUUACUCACACUCUCAUAUAGAUUAAAGAAAGCGAUAUAGACAAUUACAUGUAUAUUCUAGUACUUAUUGUUAAAAAAAGAAGAAGAAAUGCUGUUAUCAUCAAUUGAAAAGACAUUUCCAUUUCUUUUUGUAAAAUAUUUGUUCCGUAAGUUUUUCUUCCAAAAUGUAGUAAUCAUAUAAACAUUUCAAAACAUCAUCAAAAACAAUAUUGACAUUCUUUCUUGAAUAUUGGAAUAUGUAUCUCUUUACUAAGAGGAUUAUAAAGUUUAAAACCAUGUGUUCUCUAUUUUUGUCCAAUUUCCUACAUCAGAUGAGAGACUGAUUUGACAAACUUACAGAUGCGUUAUGAUGAGUUUUGAAUUUACUUUUAAAUAUUGACAUACAUGCAAGUAUAUUAACUCAGUAUUACAAAGAUAUUAUCAAUAGAAGCUGUUUGAACAGAAAACACAUGGAUCCCUUGUGCCUGGUUGCCAGCUUUCAGAUCGAGUAUGGUGCUUGUAAUAAUGUGAAACAGAUCGUUUUUAUGAAAACGUGUGGUGGAAAUCCUACAUGAAGAACAAAUCGUCUACAGUCUAGCGUUGCCUAUUUACGUGUCAGUUGCACAAGUCUGUUUAUGUUGAAGAGUUGGUUCGAGACAUUCGUUAAAUAGCAUAAAAGAAGGGGACAAACCGACGAUUAAAGGAUUGAUUAGAAAAAGGUACCAAAUCGUGUGUUUUGUUUAUGCUCUUUUUUCAAAGACAGGUUCGGGUUUCAUACAGCAAAAUGAUGAAAAAGGGUGGCAAGUGGAGUUUAAGACACUUGGAUAGAUAAGAUAGAAAACGAAGUCUUGUAUUGCUAUGCUAUUUGAGUAAUGAUAUGCGCUGCUGCAAUUGUUUUGAGAUUGGCAAUUGAUAAUUGAAGCAUCUGAUACUCAGUUUUUAAAUGAAACAAUAAUUUUGAUACUUAAUUUAAGAUAUAUGUUGGUGCUUUUCUGAUACCCGCAUGGAUAUCAAAUGCUGUGGUUUUGUCGGAUUAGAAUUUAUUUGAUACAUAGAUUUUAGUGCAGCCUACUUUUUUAUCUACUCUGAUAUAUAAACUAUAGUUUGAAUAUCAUUCGAUUCAUAAUCUUCUUCAACUACGGAAACGACAAUUAUCAUUUCGUGUAUUGGGGUCAACUUAAUAUGUUUCUCAAAAGAAAAUCGCAGCUGACCAUCCUUGUACUAGUUGAAUAGCACAUUUAUUUUAGAACAUUUCUGAUCUGAAGUUAUUCUGUAUACAAGUAUUUGGAUGAUGAGGAUAAUAAAGAUAUAAAUUUCUUCUGGUUUUGGUCUGUCUUUUUUCUGAUCGCUUCAUCUGGAAUUGCCAUGACGUAUAAUGUCUAAGUGGAAGAUCAUCUAAAUAUUAGAAACUUAAAUCUCAAUUUUAAUACGUUGUAAAAAAAAAAAAAAAAAAAAAGUGAGAAAUGCAGGAAUGUAAGUCUAUUUCGUCGAAAACGUACCAUGUAUUUAGCUCGUACGCAUUGAAAAUCCUUUUAUUGAUGUGAAAUGUACGCCCAAGCAAACAUAGAUAGGAAAAACUUCAAACUAAUGUGCGACUACAUCAACCAGAAGUGGUAUAAAUCAAAUGUGGAUUCUAAAAAAAAUUCUAAAGACCUUUUAGUAAAUUAAAAAUCGCAAAGCUUUUCUCAAAGCAACAACAUCAAAACGCACGACUUCUCAACACUUUACACGGUCAUUCCUCACGAUGAAUUAAAGACUAAACAUUUGACAUCAUAGACAGUUGCUUCUUCAACAAAACUGGGAAACGGAAAUAUUUAUAUCUAGUGAUCAGUCAUCCAAAAAUUACUUUGUUAAACGCCACUCUGAUUCUACGCACAAGUUAUCCGAAGUUCAAAUUAAAAAUAUGCUGGAGUUCCUCAUUUAACUUCGUAGUCUUUGGUGAUCAGGUCUUCCAACAGUGUUUGAAUUCCCAUGGACACGAAUGUGCUCCUUUGUUAGCUGCCUGAUUUUAUAUUCUUGUGAAGCAAAAUUUAAUCAAAAACUUCUAUGUAAGAAGAAAAAAUAUCUUGCGCUGGCCUUCAAUGCGACAUUAAGAUAUAUCGACGAUGUAUUAUCUAUCAACAACAAUAAUUUUCAUUCAUAUGUCGAUUCGAUAUAUCCCCGUGAACUCGACAUAUAAGACACCACAGAGUCGUACACUUCUGCUACAUAGAUAUUUUUUUUUAGAAAAUAAAUAUUAACGGCAAAUCAACUAUAUGAUAAACGGGAUGAUAUCAGCUUCUCCAUCAUCAACGUCACAUAUUUAUGUAGCAAUAUUCGAUUAUCAUCUUUAUAUGGUGUUUAUAUCUCUCAAAUGAUUCGUUACGCAAGAGCUUGUUCUCCGUAUAAUCAGUUUUUAAAUAUAGGCGGGCUACUGACAAACAAGUCUAUAUUAAUUGAUCACUGCAUUAUCCCAGUAACUAUAUUAACUGAUCACUAAAUUAUCCCAGUAACCUUAUAAACCGAUCACUGCAUUAUCCCAGUAACUUUAUAAACCGAUCACUGCAUUAUCCCAGUAACUAUAUUAACUGAUCACUAAAUCAUCCCAGUAAAUAUAUUAAUUGAUCACUAAAUUAUCCCAGUAACCUUACAAACCGAUCACCUUUCAGUUUGGGAAAGGGGUAUAUAUUUUACAAAUACGACCAGUUCCAAUUGAAUUUUUAAAUGAAAAUAAACGAUAAAGAAUUAGAACAAGAGAAACACGCAACAUGUUUGUAAUUUUGUGAAUUGUAUUUGUCUGAGUCAUACAAGGAAUAAUUUCAUUUAUAUGUAAAACUUAUACGGUACCAAUUUUGAUGCACCAGAUGCACAUUUCGACAAAUAAUGUCUCCUCAGUGAUGCUCAAGCCGAAAGUUUGGAAAUUCGAAAUAACAAUAAACUUGAAAGAGCUAAAAAGAAAACCAGAGUGCCAAACACUGGAGCCAAAUUCGUCCAAGGAUCAGAGCUAUAUAUGAGGGAAAUUAUCCUUAAUUUUGAAAUGAAUUUCUAAAUUUUAUCCCAGCAAUUGAAUAUACAUCCGUAUUUUCAAGCUAGUAACAUAUAGUGCCAGGAGGAGACAUCCGGUACCUUCACGAUCAUCUCUUGGUUUAAGCGUUUUGGAGAGACAUAAAACAAAGGCCGCUUAAAUCACAGGAAAAGACAAGUACUUAUAAAAGCUAUUAUUAGAAUUGCUUCUAAAUCGUAGAAACGUGGUAUUGUUAGAAAAAGAGAGUCUGGCCGGAAUAGUUUUGUUAACGUUCUAAAAUCUCAUCCAAGACAUAUAGAUAUUAGUUGAAUAUAGGAUGACUAUACGUGAAGUAUGUAUAUAUUUAGGACGAGUUAAACUAACUAUCUCUCCCUUUUCUGAAUUUCAAUUUACUAAAAUCAUUAUCAAUAGGUCUAAUCAAAUUUGGUUGGUUGAUUGAUUGUAAAGAUUAUAUGGUGUGUUUAUUGAAAAUCUUCUCAAUUACACUAACGUAAAACUUAUACGGUGCCAAUUUUAAUGCAUCCGGUGCGCAUUUCGACAAAUGUCUCUUCAGUGAUGCUCAAGCCGAAAUACGAACUCUACACAAGAUUCGAUCACCUGUACAACCUAACAAUCCUUAUCGAAGAUUUCAUCUUGAAACCUCUACGUUAAAGACAUCUGUGUCCCCACUGCUCUGGGGUUCUGUUGUCAAAAAUGGUUCCAAGUCCUGCUGAGACACGCAACAUUUAUAUUACCGUGUACAAGGAAGAACCGCCUUUCUGGUAAGUAAGUAGAUCACUUUUGUAUAUGUAGUUUCGUAAUAAGUUUGAUAUGAAUUACAUUACUUGUGAUAUUUGUUCUCUAUUUUUAGCUCACCUGAACCGAAGGUUCAAGUGAGCUAUUCUGAUCACAUUUUGUCCGGCGUCCGUCUGUCUGUCUGUCCGUCUGUCCGUAAACUUUUCACAUUUUCGACUUCUUCUCCAGAACCACUGGGCCAAUUUCAACCUAACUUGGCCAAAAGCAUCCUUGGGUGAAGGGCUUUCAAGUUUGUUCAAAUGAAGGUCCAUGUCCCUUUCAAAGGGGAGAUAAUCACAAAAAUGCAAAAAUAGCGUGGGGUCAUUUAAAAAUCUUCUUCUCAAGAACCACUGGGCCAGAAGAGUUGAAAUUUACCUGAAAGCUUCCUGACAUAUUGCAGAUUCAAGUUUGGUCAAAUCAUGGCCCCCGGUGGUAGGAUGGGGCCACAAGGGGGAAUCAAAGUUUUACAUACAAAUAUAUAGGGAAAAACUUUAAAAAUCUUCUUCUCAAGAACCACUAAGCCAGAAAAGCUGAGAUUUACAUGAAAGCUUCCUGACAUAAUGCAGAUUCAAGUUUGUUCAAAUCAUGGGCCCCUGGGGUUGGAUGGGGCCACAAUAGGGGAUCAAAGUUUUACAUACAAAUAUAUAGGAAAAAUCUUUAAAAAUCUUCUUCUCAAGAACCACUAAGCCAGAAAAGCUGAUUUUUACAUGAAAACUUUCUGACAUAGUGCAGAUUCAAGUUUGUUCAAAUCAUGGCCCCCGGGGAUAAGAUGGGGCCCCAAGGGGUGGAUCAAAGUUUUACACACAAAUAUAGAAGGAAAAACUUUAAAAAUCUUCUUCUCAAGAACCACUGAGCCAGAAAAGCUAAGAUUUACAUGAAAGCUUACUGACAUAAUGCAGAUUCAAGUUUGUUCAAAUCAUGGGCCCCGGGGGUUGGAUGGGACCACAAUAGGGGAUCAAAGUUUUACAUACAAAUAUAUAGGAAAAAUCUUCUUCUCAAGAACCACUGAGUCAGAAAAGCUGAUUUUUACAUGAAAACUUUCUGACAUAGUGCAGAUUCAAGUUUGUUCAAAUCAUGGGCCCCGGGGGUAGGAUGGGGCCACAAGGGGGGAUCAAAGUUUUACAUACAAAUAUAUAGGAAAAAUCUUUAAAAAUCUUCUUCUCAAGAACCACUGAGCCAGAAAAGCUGAUUUUUACAUGAAAACUUUCUGACAUAGUGCAGAUUCAAGUUUGUUCAAAUCGUGGCCCCCGGGGGUAGGAUGGGGCCCCAAGGGGGGAUCAAAGUUUUACAUACAAAUAUAGGAAAAAGCUUUAAAAAUCUUCUUCUCAAGAACCAUUGGGCCAAAGAAGUUGACAUUUACAUGAAAGCUUUCUGACAUAGUGUAGAUUCAAGUUUGCAAAGGGUAGUUUGGGCCAUAAUAAGGACUAAGGUUUUACAUCCAAAUAUAUAUGGAAAGUCUUCAGAUAUGGGCCAAGGUGACUCGGGUGAGCGAUGUGGCCCAUGGGCCUCUUGUUUUAAUUGUUUUUAUCAUUUUCAACAAAUACAUAUACACCUUUUACUCACACUCUCAUAUAGAUUAAAGAAAGCGAUAUAGACAAUUACAUGUAUAUUCUAGUACUUAUUGUUAAAAAAAGAAGAAGAAAUGCUGUUAUCAUCAAUUGAAAAGACAUUUCCAUUUCUUUUUGUAAAAUAUUUGUUCCGUAAGUUUUUCUUCCAAAAUGUAGUAAUCAUAUAAACAUUUCAAAACAUCAUCAAAAACAAUAUUGACAUUCUUUCUUGAAUAUUGGAAUAUGUAUCUCUUUACUAAGAGGAUUAUAAAGUUUAAAACCAUGUGUUCUCUAUUUUUGUCCAAUUUCCUACAUCAGAUGAGAGACUGAUUUGACAAACUUACAGAUGCGUUAUGAUGAGUUUUGAAUUUACUUUUAAAUAUUGACAUACAUGCAAGUAUAUUAACUCAGUAUUACAAAGAUAUUAUCAAUAGAAGCUGUUUGAACAGAAAACACAUGGAUCCCUUGUGCCUGGUUGCCAGCUUUCAGAUCGAGUAUGGUGCUUGUAAUAAUGUGAAACAGAUCGUUUUUAUGAAAACGUGUGGUGGAAAUCCUACAUGAAGAACAAUCGUCUACAGUCUAGCGUUGCCUAUUUACGUGUCAGUUGCACAAGUCUGUUUAUGUUGAAGAGUUGGUUCGAGACAUUCGUUAAAUAGCAUAAAAGAAGGGGACAAACCGACGAUUAAAGGAUUGAUUAGAAAAAGGUACCAAAUCGUGUGUUUUGUUUAUGCUCUUUUUUCAAAGACAGGUUCGGGUUUCAUACAGCAAAAUGAUGAAAAAGGGUGGCAAGUGGAGUUUAAGACACUUGGAUAGAUAAGAUAGAAAACGAAGUCUUGUAUUGCUAUGCUAUUUGAGUAAUGAUAUGCGCUGCUGCAAUUGUUUUGAGAUUGGCAAUUGAUAAUUGAAGCAUCUGAUACUCAGUUUUUAAAUGAAACAAUAAUUUUGAUACUUAAUUUAAGAUAUAUGUUGGUGCUUUUCUGAUACCCGCAUGGAUAUCAAAUGCUGUGGUUUUGUCGGAUUAGAAUUUAUUUGAUACAUAGAUUUUAGUGCAGCCUACUUUUUUAUCUACUCUGAUAUAUAAACUAUAGUUUGAAUAUCAUUCGAUUCAUAAUCUUCUUCAACUACGGAAACGACAAUUAUCAUUUCGUGUAUUGGGGUCAACUUAAUAUGUUUCUCAAAAGAAAAUCGCAGCUGACCAUCCUUGUACUAGUUGAAUAGCACAUUUAUUUUAGAACAUUUCUGAUCUGAAGUUAUUCUGUAUACAAGUAUUUGGAUGAUGAGGAUAAUAAAGAUAUAAAUUUC